UACGUAGGGGGCAAGCGUUGUCCGGAAUUAUUGGGCGUAAAGAGCUCGUAGGCGGUUUGUCACGUCUGCUGUGAAAACUGGAGGCUCAACCUCCAGCUUGCAGUGGGUACGGGCAGACUAGAGUGCGGUAGGGGAGAUUGGAAUUCCUGGUGUAGCGGUGGAAUGCGCAGAUAUCAGGAGGAACACCGGAUGGCGAAGGCAGAUCUCUGGGCCGUAACUGACGCUGAGGAGCGAAAGCGUGGGGAGCGAACAGG
rnacentral:rRNA from 1 species